AGGGGGUUAGCUCAGCGGCACAAGCACAUGUCUGGCAAGCAUAAGGUCACGAGUUCAAUCCCUAUACCCUCCU
rnacentral:tRNA from 1 species